UACGUAGGGUGCAAGCGUUGUCCGGAAUUAUUGGGCGUAAAGAGCUCGUAGGCGGUCUGUCGCGUCUGCUGUGAAAACUCGGGGCUUAACCCCGGGCCUGCAGUGGGUACGGGCAGACUAGAGUGCGGUAGGGGAGACUGGAAUUCCUGGUGUAGCGGUGAAAUGCGUAGAUAUCGGAAGGAACACCGGUGGCGAAAGCGGCGCGCUGGACCUCUUCUGACGCUGAGGCGCGAAAGCCAGGGGAGCGAACGGG
rnacentral:rRNA from 1 species